rnacentral:misc_RNA from 1 species
GAGAAACAUUGCACGAAAGCAGAAUUAUUAUAGAGAAUCUCUAGAUUUUGCAUUUAAAAAAUUAAGUUCACAUGAAGAUGAUGUAAUUUAUAAAUUUCGCUGCGGAGGCCCGGUCUGUGUUUUGCAGCUCAAAUCCAUUGAAAACGACGUUGUCUUCUAUUCUAUUUCACCGCUAAUCCUUAGCCCUCAAGAUUUCUGAUUCUCUCCGUCUCUGAUUUCUGAAGAAAUGAAUAUUUUGAAACCCUAAUUCGAACUUCAAUUCAAUUGUGAAUCAAAUUGCGAAUUAUCUGAUUCACAAUUCUAAAUUUGCCCAUUCUCCUGGUCUCGAUGGGGGAAGCCGGAAGUCCUAGAACAAGUAGAGAAUCAAACACCUCAUUGAUGGCACAGAAUGACGAUCUGGGAAAUGAUAUGUUCAUUCCUCAACUAUUUACUGGAGUACCAGUUCUCAGUGAAGCUGCAUCUUACCUUGCUCAAACAACUUCAUUGCUAACUCGCUGUUUCUCUGAUUAUUCUUUGGAAUAUUCUUCUAGAGAUUCUGGGAAUUCAAUUACUCAUGCACAGGAAUUGGUGACAUAUUCUUCUGGAAAAACUGAGGAAUAUCUGGAUGAUGAUUUCCCAUCUUCAAGUCAAAGCCAUUCAACGUUUUCAGAACCAUCUACAUCUACAUCUGCGACUGCUCCCCCUCCUAUCCGUGAUGGAAUAACAAGAACCUCUUUGGAAAGCCCAUCCCAACAUACGAGUGCAAUUGUAUCAUCAAACCAUAGUGGCCAAAAUGGAAUUUCUAUUUUUCAAGGGCUUAUUGAGAGAGCACGGAGGACUGUUCGUGGAUCUGCUGAUGAUAUAGGAUGGAUGCAACGUGCUUUAUGGAUGCCUGCAGUUGAAGAUGGCACUGAAAGGUUCAUGGAAAUUCUUGAUAACAUCAGGCAUGGUUUGCACAAGUUGUCAAAUUCAGUGGUUUACUUGUUGGUUCCAGGUCUUUUCAGUAAUCAUGGACCACUUUAUUUUGUUAAUACAAAAGUGAGAUUCUCUAAGAUGGGACUAGCCUGUCACAUUGCCAAGAUUCACAGUGAGGCUUCAGUUGAGAAAAAUGCCAGAGAGAUAAAAGAGUAUAUCGAGGAAAUCUAUUGUGGUUCAAAACUUCAAAUGAACAUGUCAUGCUUCUGGGACAUAGUAAAGGAGGGAUAGAUGCAGCUGCUGCUUUAUCAUUGUGUUGCUCUGAUUUGAAAGAUAAGGUAGCUGGAUUGGUAUUAGCACAAAGUCCUUAUGGUGGUAGCACAAAGUCCUUAUGGUGGUAGCCCAAUAGCUUCAAAUAUUUAUGUGAAGGACAACUUGGUGAUUAUGUUAAUGUGUGCAGACUUAUGGGGAUUAUAAUCUGUAAAGUGAUUAAGGUAUGCCUCAGUUUUACUUGUUCAGUCUUAAAAAGAAAUUCUCAAGGAUUUUUUUUUGUGUUUGAAUCCUGUUUUAGAAAUUCCUAAAAGAUAAUAGACUUAUAAUCUCUUUUUUAUAUAAUGAAGACAUACAAAAUCAAUUUAUGCUUUUUUAUGGUAGUUCUGUGGAUAUAUCUUUUUGGUUUCACCCCUUAAAAAUGAGAAAUUCAUGCCAAUAAUGCUUGCUUUCUUAUAUUUGUUUUAUUUCCCUGUUUGUGAAAUAGAAGUGACAUUGAUGUUUUAUCUUGCAUGAUAUAAAAUGUAUAUUCCAAUGCUUGCAAAUGAACUUUGUUAGGAAACAUGGAUUACAAUUUACAAUAGAAUCCUUAGUAUAGCAGGUAUGCGUCCUUUUAUCAUGGCACAUGAAAUUGUAGAUAGUAACUUGAUAAACAUUCCACCAAAUAUGGUUAUUUAUUAAUAUGAUUAAUUGAUUGCUCGGAAAGUGAACUGUGCAAUUACGUAGAAUAACAUGUUUAGAUAGAAUAGUUUCAAGAUAAGAUAAUACAAAUAUAAAUGACUGCUUUUAUGGAAAUGAUCUUGUUCCAAUUGGAGUGAUUGGUGAUCAAUGUGUAGUUAAGCAGUCAUUUCCCCGCUAAAGUCAAAAGUGGUUUCACGAGUAAGAGAGGGACAUAAUUGAGGAAGUAAGAAAGACACAAUUACACCCUGUGAUUUAACAACAAAUAUUGAUGCAGAUAACAGAAAAGAGAGACGACUGAAUGGUGGAGCCCAGUUGGCUGGGAUGUGGUUUUGAUAAAUCUGUUGAGGAUUUUUGCUUCUAAAAUAAUUCUCCUUGUCAUGAUUUUUUUAAUAAUUUGUUUUUAUUGUGAAAUUAUUUUCUAAUCUCUGUGAAGUUAUUAGAUCGUUAUACUUGAGUUCUUAGUGUCUGGCUAAUUUUUGUGUUAUUUGUAACACUGAAGGGUGAUCUACAAGCGCUGCAAAUCAGGUAUGGCGAGAGGAGCAAUGGGCUCGUCACAUGUUGUGAUGCAUAAGUCCCUGGAUCCAUUUUAGUGUGCCCUAAACGAAAAUUGGACCAUGCUUGGAUGGUCUCCUCAUCAUUGAAUGACGACCCUUCUGAAGCAGAUGCUUCUCGUGUGUGCUAAAGCAGAUGCUUCUCAAGUGUGCGAAGCUCUAUCAGCGUUGCUUGUGGAAGUUAGACAAAAGAAGAGACACGAACUUGCAAUAAAAGAUGAGUGAGAGCCUCUUGCGAUUUAUGCCUUUCACUGAUUGUUAUGCUACUCCUGUACAUCAAUAGCAAAUGGCUCUUGGUGCCAUUUGAAAUUGUAAAUAUAUAGCCCCUAGUCACCAAGAAUUAGAUUUUGAUAUCAUCUAGUUAUGCUCUUUGACUAAUGAAAUCGAUAACACUGUUACAACGCUAAUGUAAAAUAAAAAAUGAAUUUUUUUA